rnacentral:rRNA from 1 species
GACGAACGCUGGCGGCGUGCUUAACACAUGCAAGUCGAACGGAAAGGCGCUGCUCUUGCGGGGUGCUCGAGUGGCGAACGGGUGAGUAACACGUGAGUAACCUGCCCUUGACUUUGGGAUAACUCCAGGGAAAUGGGGCUAAUAUCGGAUAGGAGAUCCUGCUGCAUGGUGGGGGUUGGAAAGUUUCGGCGGUUGGGGAUGGACUCGCGGCUUAUCAGCUUGUUGGUGGAGUAGUGGACUACAAAGGUUUUGACGGGUAGCCGGCCUGAGAGGGUGACCAGCCACAUGGGGACUGAGGUAGGGCGCAGACUGCUACGUGCGGCAGCAGUGGGGAAUAUUGCGGAAUGGGCGGAAGCCAGAUGCAGCAACGCCGCGAGCGGGAUGACCGCCUUCGAGUUGUAAACCACUUUCGACUGUGACGAAGCGUGAGUGACGGUAAUGGGUAAAAAAGCACCGGCUAACUACGUG